UGAGCCGUUUCUUGUCGUGGACACAUUUAUCCCCUUUUCCCCCAAGAACACCUCUAUCCCCAAGCGAGCAGCUCGUGGUGGCGGCGCUAGUUUCGGCCACCUGCGGCCAAGGAAAAAUGGAGGAUGCUGAUCUGGAGUUUCUGCUUGAUGUCGUGGACAGGUUAAUUUCUAAAGAUCUGAGUAUUUCGCGGUAUUUAUUUUACAGUCUACCAUAACUGAAUGAGGUUGCUAACAAUGGGGCCUGGCCGUCGGCCAUUACCUUCCUUCUCUCCCGCUGUGGGAGGAGUUUGGGGACAACAUUAAACACCCAGAUCCGGUUCCUCUGGCCGGGUUUAGUUGAGGUCAACGGGUUGGCGACGAAGGACCUGAAAAGGCACGAGGUGGAGGCCGCCGUCGUCCAAAUUCUUCUCCGACUAGGUCGGCGCAGUCAACUGACAGAGUCAACCCACAGGCCCCAGAUUGGACAAAAAGCGAUGAUGGAAACUGGAGUGCAGCUUAAUUUGUCUAUAUAUUUUUGCAGUGGAGAAGGUGAUGACCAAACAAGAGGCUGUUGAUGAGAUCACUACUUUUGGAGGUGGCAAUCAGCAAAGUUUAUCCGGGCGUGCACAGGUGGUGCAAAUGAAAUGUGCUGAAGAAAGCGAAGGAGACAUUGGGCCCUCAGUACACGAAGAAGAGUGAGUUCCAAGCUGAGUUCCAUGAGGUUUUGAACCACAUGCUAACUGAAGAUGAGUUUGAGACGGCGUGGGCUGCGCUGUUAGAUAAGUACAAUCUGAGAAAGCACCCCUACAUGACCCAGAUAUACGAAAUCAGAAAAAGGGACAGACCGAGCAUCUGCAGAAGAAGAUUGCUUACUCCCUCCGUUCCAAAAUAGAUGAACAAAGUUUGUACUAACUUUGGCUUGUGACAGGGACAGACCGAGUCAUCUAUUUUGGAAUGGAGGGAGUACGAGAUAGUGACAAUGAAAAGGAACAAAGGAGCUAUCCCAGAGUUUCUGUACGAUGUGAUCGUUGACUGAAGUGGAAGAUAGUGGUAGUUGUAUCUUUUGGCUGUACGUAUGCUAGGCAGUUAGAUUAACCCGACUAAGUAGUUGGGCCAUUUUGCGGCAAAAUCCCCUGCCAUCUUGUAUUUUUGGGAAAACUAUAGUCAUGCAAUAUUUUCCCAGGCGGGAACCUAUUAGACUAAGUGAAAACUGGUUAUGUUGUGA